rnacentral:other from 1 species
UAUAGGCUGCAUUGUACGUAUUGUAAUUAAGUUUUAACCUUUAUACUGUAACAGGGAGUUUUAUAUAGAAACUGGAAUGGCAAGCUUAGUUCAAUUUAUUAACUAAGACAUACAGGACCGUUUCUGCGAACACCCACUUGGAGAAGUGGUGGUUUAAAACUUUCUACGAUCUGAUACGGCAAAGGCGGCUGAAUU